UGUCAUCUGUACCUCUCUAUUCAGACAUUUUUUCUGAUUAUAAAAGAUUAAAAAUUUACAGUAAAAAGUCUAGGAAUACAAAUAAGCAAAAAAUGUAUAAUAAUUACCAACAAUUCCAUCAUAUAGAGUAAUCUGUUACUAUUGUGGCAAGUACGAUUCUAGAAAGGAAAAAGGUUUAAUGACUUCCACCCCUGAUUUCUCUUUCCAAAGCUCUAGAUUCUCCUCCUAAAGAUAAGGAUUAGGGUCUGAGUAAAUUGCAGUGACUAGGGUCUCUAAAGGGAGCCCCUGCAGUUAAACCUAUAUCCAUUUCCUCUCCAGAUUCAAAGGCGAAGGAACAGUACAGGGACUACAAUAAAACUUAUUUAUCACACAUUUCUCUAUGUGUAAAUGAAGAGUUUAAGACUAAUGGUAAAAUAGCUCAUGUUUCUUACAUUAAUACAACUUUUGAAUUGAGACUCUGUUUUGUGUAAAAGAUAUCACAAGCGGAGUUGUGCAGCAAAGAUGUGCUGGGCCCAUAAAACACUUCACACACUUCAGGGACACGUUCCACGGAUCAUUCAGUCCUCAGCAUGGGAAGUAUGUAAAUUUGACUUCUUCAAGCUCAUACACAGUCCUUUUAGUCCUUAGGUUAUUGCAUCUGUAGAAUUAGCAUGAUACACAAAGUGCCCUUUAAACAAUUCUGUUCUCUUACAAGUCUUUGUCCAACUCUGUAUUUGCAUGAGCUCUUCCAAAUAAAAUAUGAUUUUAGUUUAUUAAUAAUCCAUUAGAAGAGAAGGAAAAGAGAUGCUACACUCUUAAAAAAAGAAAAAAGAAAAACUCACAUGGAGUUUAAGUGAGUCCACAGGAUGGUUUUUUUAAAAUAAAAACCUUGUUCCAUCUCAGCCUUUCUAUCUUAGUGUUCCUUAUCUCAACAGAUACAUCAUGGAUAUGCAUCUUCUUUGGAAACACAUUGUUGCCAUAAGCUAAGGGCUUUAGAAAACAUUAUGCAAAUAUGAAGCAUAUGUCUGAUGAUGUAUUCUACCCAUCUGUUUUUCAGCUCUAAUUGAACUCAUGGCCAGAUGUUUCUUUUUUGAAUUAUAAUUUGAUAAUUUAUAAUUGCAUAUAUUUAUAGAACACAAAGUGAUAUGCUUUAUGAACACAACGUGAAAACAUUAAAUUAAGCUAGUUAACAUAUCUAUCACCUCAAAAACUUAACAGUUUUUCAUGAUGAGAACAUUUGGAAUUUACUCUUUCAUCGAUUUUGAAAUGUAUAUUAUUCAAUUGUUAACUAUAUUGAUCACAUUGCACAGUGGCUCUCAGAAAGUAUUCCCUCCUGAGAUUUUAACCUUGAGACCAUCAUCUCCUCUUUCUCCUGACCACCAGCCUAUGAACCACCGUUAUUCUUCUUCUACAAGUUCCAAUGUUUUAUAUUUUAUAUAUAAGUGAGAACAUGUAGUAUCUGUCUUUUGUGCCUGGUUUAUUUCACUUGCAUAAUACUCUUCAGUUAUACUCAUGUUUUUGCCCAUAACAAAAUUUUAUUCUUUUAAAAUUGAAACAGUGUUACAUUAUGUACACAUACCACAUUUCUUUUAUGCAUUCAUCCGUUGAUGGAGACUUAGGUCAAUUCUGUAACUCGGCUAUUGUGAAUACUGCUGCAAUGAACCUGAGAGAGCAGACAUCUCUUUAACAUGAUGAUUUCAAUUUUUUGGAUAAAUAUCCAAAAGUGUAAUUGCCAGGUCAUAUGAUAAUUUGAUUUUCAGUUUUCUGCAGAAACACUAUAAAGUUUUAUAUAAUGUCUUUCUAAUUUACAUUCCUACAAAUAGCGUACAAUAGUUCCCUUCUCUCCACAUUUUUAUCAACACUUGUUAUCUUUUGUCUUUUUAUAGUAGCCAUUCUGAAGGGUGUGUGAUCUCAUAUAACCAAUUUUAACUUGUGUUUUCCUAAUGAUUAAUGAUGCUAAACAGUUUUCAUAUAUCUGUUGGCCAUUUGCAUGUCUUUUGAGAAAUAUAUGUUCACAUCCCUUGCCCGUUUUUUAAUUCGGUCUUUCAGUUUUUGCUCCUAAGUUGCUGAGCUCCUUAUAUAUUUUGGAUAUAAAUUCUCUAUUGGAACUAUGGCCUACAAAUAUUUUCUCUCAAUCCACAGAUUCUCUGCAUACUAUUAAUUAUUUCCUUUGCUGUGAAGAAGCUUUUAAGUUUGAUAUAAUCCCACUUGUCUUUUGGUACUUUUGUUG
rnacentral:lncRNA from 1 species